GACGAACGCUGGCGGCGUGCCUAAUACAUGCAAGUAGAACGCUGAAGAGAGGAGCUUGCUCUUCUUGGAUGAGUUGCGAACGGGUGAGUAACGCGUAGGUAACCUGCCUGGUAGCGGGGGAUAACUAUUGGAAACGAUAGCUAAUACCGCAUAAAAUUGAUUAUUGCAUGAUAAUUAAUUGAAAGAUGCAACUGCAUCACUACCAGAUGGACCUGCGUUGUAUUAGCUAGUUGGUGAGGUAACGGCUCACCAAGGCGACGAUACAUAGCCGACCUGAGAGGGGGAUCGGCCAAACUGGGAAUGAGACACGGCCCAGACUCCUACGGGAGGCAGCAGUAGGGAAUCUUCGGCAAUGGGGGGAACCCUGACCGAGCAACGCCGCGUGAGUGAAGAAGGUUUUCGGAUCGUAAAGCUCUGUUGUAAGAGAAGAACGGGUGUGAGAGUGGAAAGUUCACACUGUGACGGUAUCUUACCAGAAAGGGACGGCUAACUACGUG
rnacentral:rRNA from 1 species